UACGGAAGGGGGCUAGCGUUGCUCGGAAUCACUGGGCGUAAAGCGCACGUAGGCGGAUUGCUAAGUCAGGGGUGAAAUCCUGGAGCUCAACUCCAGAACUGCCUUCGAUACUGAAGAUCUCGAGUCCGGGAGAGGUGAGUGGAACUCCGAGUGUAGAGGUGAAAUUCGUAGAUAUUCGGAAGAACACCAGUGGCGAAGGCGGCUCACUGGCCCGGUACUGACGCUGAGGCACGAAAGCGUGGGGAGCAAACAGG
rnacentral:rRNA from 1 species